rnacentral:rRNA from 1 species
AUGUGGUUUAAUUCGAUGCAACGCGAAAAACCUUACCCACCUUUGACAUGUACGGAAUUUUCCAGAGAUGGAUUAGUGCUCGAAAGAGAGCCGUAACACAGGUGCUGCAUGGCUGUCGUCAGCUCGUGUCGUGAGAUGUUGGGUUAAGUCCCGCAACGAGCGCAACCCUUGUCAUUAGUUGCUACAUUUAGUUGGGCACUCUAAUGAGACUGCCGGUGACAAACCGGAGGAAGGUGGGGAUGACGUCAAGUCCUCAUGGCCCUUAUAGGUGGGGCUACACACGUCAUACAAUGGCUGGUACAAAGGGUUGCCAACCCGCGAGGGGGAGCUAAUCCCAUAAAGCCAGUCGUAGUCCGGAUCGCAGUCUGCAACUCGACUGC